rnacentral:lncRNA from 1 species
ACCCUGUAAACAUAGUAGAUAAAACACAAAGGGAAUCUAACUCAUCUGACUCAUAGAUCGGUUUUAAAGAUCUGAUGAAAAAAAAAAAAAAAAAAAACCUGUUCCAAGGAGUCUAGGCCAGGUUUUCAAUUCAGGAACGAGGUUAGGCUGCCACCUAGGUACGCUCAGCUCCUCGCCUAGCUCCUGGCACGGAACAUCUCAAACAAGUGAGCGCCAGCUGCGUCCCGUUUGCAAACUUCCCUUCGGUGUACCGUACAGAGACACGCUAAUUACGAGCACCCGAUUUACGCACGGAAAGAAAUCCACAAUUUAGGACACAGCGCGCCUUGCGGCCCUUCUUUCACGCCCGUCUCUAUGGUUGGCAGGUGACCACUCUACACUCUGGAGGACUCAGCGAGGACAGCCUCUCCUGAGGCCCCUUUACCAGCACGUGACCGGAAGUCUGGCUUGCUAUUGGCUAGAGCCGGUAGAGCCCGCCCAACCGCCUCCUGUCAGUUCCUUUAAGUAGAAGCCAGAGGCCCCCGCUCGGCCUUUCGGGGACUGUGACGCCGGACCGGCCAGGUGCGUUUGUGUUGGGCCCCGGCGGGCCGGCCCGCAGCCUGGUGGGUCGCGGGGGGCGGCCUGCAGUGAUGACAUUCCAGAAAAAUGCACGUGUUAGACUGCUGACGCGGGUGAUGCGAACUACAGUCUGAGUCGGGCCUCCGCGGCGGCGGGCAGGAGACGGGCAGGCCCGCGGGCGCGCAGCCGCUAACCACCGCUCUCGUUCUUGCAGGUUCCGGCUGGGCCGAGGACGUCGGAGCUUCCUGCCCUCCUCCCCGCCCACCUUUACCCCGAAGCCUCGCAAUAAAAUGGUUUGAUCCAGCGCUGGUGUUAAGCGUCUUCGUCGUCCCGACGCGCUGCCUUUGAGCCCCCGCCGCGCCUGCGCGUGGCGCCGGGGGUCAGGCUGCAGCGCCAGAGCACGCGCUUGCGCAUAACUGGGGCCGCCCGGUUCCCCCGCCGGCGGCCCUUUUAACCGCGAGCGACACGGCGGCACCUGCAGGGGACGCGAGCGUGGGGCGGGGGCGAUUUGCGACUCCAGCCUCAGCCCUUGAAGCCGAGGCUGAAACGCCCCGGGCAGACGCGGCGAUCCUCUAGGC